AUGUAAGGUAGAGGCGCGUUAUCUAAUAGUAAUUAACAAGAGGGUGAAACCAAUGACGGUUAAUGAAAGGAGCUAAUGCCUAAGUAAGAGUGACGUCAAAUCCUUUUUCUGGGGCUGUAUUGAAUAAGUGCAACACUGCCAUAGUAUAUAAUCAUAUUCACUAUGGAGCGCUACUGUGAAA
rnacentral:ncRNA from 2 species